GAGGGUCGCGAGACCUCCCUAAUACCUUCAACCAACCCGCGUACCUGCCGAGGGGGCCCGCAAGGGCCGCUACAUAUUGAUGCCUCGGUCGGCGGCCCCAGGGGGGGCCUCUGCCCGCGCGCCUCCGUGCGACGGGUGCCGGCCGGCGGCCACAAACCAAACCUGUGUCUAGUAUAUCUCUUCUGGAACAAAACAAAAUCAUUA
rnacentral:misc_RNA from 1 species